rnacentral:snRNA from 1 species
CUUGCUUCCGGCAGCAACAUAUACUAAAAUGGGAAAGAUACGAGAAGACUCGCAUGGCCCCUGCGCAAGGAUGACACACAAAUUUGUGAGUUCCCCACACACAAA